AAGGUGAAAAGUCAGUAGCAAACUAUUUUGGAAACCAGAGAAAAAAAUACUUCGGAAAGAAAAUACAAUCAAUAUUUUCAAAUGCCAUAAAACAGUUUUCUGAUGAAGCUGAGGUCCACUGAUCUAUAUUUAUCCCGAACAAAUGGUUUUAUCUGGGAUCCCUCAUCUGCAAAUCAGUAACAGUGGGGAGCUGGAUUGAUUCAGACUUUAAGUGUGCAAUCUGGAAGGUCACUUAAAGAUGAUAUGGCAUCAUGAACUGCAUCUCUAAGACACCGCUUAGAGGAAACACACUCUACAAUGGUACCCAAGCAUCUGCCUUCCCAGGAAUAUCUGGACUGGAUUAAUUUGUGGGCAAGAAGGAACUUUUAUUUGUUAAGCUCCUGAGAUUGUGAUUUUGUUUACCAUAGCUGCUAGCAUCAGUUAUUUCAUUCAGAGAUGGAACAUGAAAAUAAAUAAGGCCCUACACUUGAGGAGUUCAAAGUUUAGGUAGGCAAUUGGGUUUAAAGAAUAAAAAAAGUUUUAAGGUUUCCUGUUUCUAAACUCUAAUUUACCAUUCUAAUAACCUGGGUCUCGAAAUUGAAGAAGCCACAAUCAGUAACAUUUUUGUGUUUGUUUUAUUGCAAAUGUGGUUCUAUAUGUCAAUCAGAACUAGACAUGUAUUCCAAAAAUUGAUACAGGUAGUCAUAAAGCUUUAUUAAAAUUUAUCACUGGCUGGGCGCGGUGGCUCAAGCCUGUAAUCCCAGCACUUUGGGAGGCCGAGGCGGGUGGAUCAUGAGGUCAACAGAUCGAGACCAUCCUGGUCAACAUGGUGAAACCCCGUCUCUACUAAAGAUACAAAAAAUUAGCUGGGCACGGUGGCGCGUGCCUGUAAUCCCAGCAACUCAGGAGACUGAGGCAGGAGAAUUGCCUGAACCCAGGAGAUGGAGGUUGCAGUGAGCCGAGAUCGUGCCAUUGCACUCCAGCCUGGGUAACAACAGCGAAACUCUGUCUCAAAAAAAAAAAAAUUAUCACUAGAAAUACUUGUUUUUAUUUGGUAAAUGUGACUUGAUUUCACUAUAAAAAAACUAAUAGUCUUUUCAUCUUUGUUAACUAUAGGAGAUUGGUCAGAGUGGUGGGAGAAACUAUAGGGAAAGGAACAGACCCUGGCCGACCGAUGGAUGAAAUGAGUACUCAGACACAGGUAUGCGGUGUAAGAGCAGGUAGGGGACUGCUUGACUCUAGUGGUCAAAGUGUAGCAGCCCAGAAAAGCUGGAGCUGCUUAAUUUUAUUCACUGCAGGCACAAACAGGCCACAAAGGAUGCAGUCAAGUGCAAGGUUAUGACCCUGAUGUCAUAAGAAUAACCUUGAGUAAAAAACAACUAGAAGCUGUCCUGUCCCUAUAUCUAGACCUUCAGAUAGCACUCUCUGAUUAUGCAGGCCAUACAGAACAUGUCCUUCCGGCUGAUACACUACUCCAGUUCUUAGCUCAUAUUCCUGUAGUUAUGCCUAGUUCACUCCCCUAGACCUAACGCUUUAAUGCUUUUUCCUGAUGGCUCUGGUAAAAAUGGAACAGCAGCUAUCUGGUGGGAACUGCAUAGCUCUCUGUUGAUCUGAAUUUACUAGCACUCAGAGAGCUGAAGUGGGAGCCCUAAUAUUGACUCUGAAAACCUUUCCGCUCCCCAUCAAUACUGUUAGUGACUCUGCUUACUCCAUUUUUUUAUUGCAAAAGCUUGAAACAGCUUUCAUUAAGUUCACCCUUAAAUCCAGCCUAUGUGCCCUUUAACUUCAGCAACUGCUGAUCAACAUAUACAUCCUAUUUUUAUUACACACAUUUUGGCCCACAGCUUGUUGCCUGGUCCACUGGUGUAUGGCAGUGAUCAAACAGACCUACAGGUUAUGACGUCACUGCUUGACCACGCCACCCAGUCACAUCCAUUUUCCACCAAAUUUGGAGGUGCUUAACUAAACACUUUCAACUUACCCAAAGACUAGCUAAACCAAUUAUCCUGCAAUGUCCAGACUGCCGCCUCACAGGCACAUCCCCUCCUUCAACACGUGUUAACCCUAGAGAACCAGCAACUAAUAAGUUGUGGCAAACCGAUGUCACACACAUCCCUGAAUUUGGAAAACUAAGAUAUGUACGUGUAUCCGAUGAUAUCUAUUCCCUCCUAACUAGCACACAGGCUCUUCCUGGAAAGUAAGCCCAAUAUGUUAUUAAACGUCAUCUCUUAACUUUUGCAUUUAUGGGGCAGCCCACAAAGAUUAAA